UCUGAGUGAACUUUGGGAGUUGGUGAUGGACAGGGAGGUCUGGCGUGCUGCAAUUCAUGGGGUCGCAAAGAGUCGGACACGACUGAGUGACUGAACUGAACUAAUGUACAAUAUAUAUUACAGAAAAAUAUUAAAAAUGUUGAUUCCAUUGACCAUUGUAUACAUGAGAUCUGCAUCCACGAGAACAGAGGGCUCAACACCAUUUUAUAUAAAGGACUCGAGGAUCGGUGGAUUUUGGUCUUCACAUGAGUCCUGGAACCCAUCCCCUACAGGCUACUAAGAAGGGACAGAAACAUGUUAUAUACAGGUCAUGUUAGGACCUUGCUUGAUUCUACUUGCUCUGCCUGGCUGAAAUCCCUGCACCCCGAGGGGAGAGUGCUGAACUCCGUGAUGGCAGAUGGCAUGGCUGAGAUUGGGUGUCUGCUUUUCCUCCCAAGAAGCUACAGUGCAUAAUUAAUUCAUUGUUCACAUUUCAGAGCAAGCAGAGUUUUAAUCCCCUCUGAAAUUGGUUUCGGAUGUGGAAGUCAUAGUUCUCCACCCUCUAAUUGCAAAGGGGAGAUAAUACGGCAUCGGUAUUGAAAUUUCAAGCACGGCAUCGGGCUGGAAAUAAAUAUCAUUUAAGCUUU
rnacentral:lncRNA from 1 species